UGUCCAAGUGGAAGGAUGUAGUUAGGUUUAGUAGGCAAAUCCGCUAGACUAUUAAUGAGAUCUGAUAGCAAGCUGUACUUGUACAGCGAAGUGGCAAAUACCCUGCUUCCAGGAAAAGCUUCUAAGCGAUAGUCAUAAAGAAAUCGUGCCCUAAACCGACACAGGUGGUCAGGUAGAGAAUACCAAGGCGCUUGAGAGAACUCUGCUGAAGGAACUAGGCAAAAUGGUACCGUAACUUCGGGAGAAGGUACGCUGCCGAUGGUGAGUAGUCAUGCACUACGAAGCUAUUGGCAGUCGCAGAUACCAGGCCGCUGCAACUGUUUAUUAAAAACACAGCACUCUGCAAACACGAAAGUGGACGUAUAGGGUGUGAUGCCUGCCCGGUGCUGGAAGGUUAAUUGAUGGGGUUAGCGUAAGCGAAGCUCUUGAUCGAAGCCCCAGUAAACGGCGGCCGUAGCAAUAACGGUCCUAAGGUAGCGAAAUUCCUUGUCGGGUAAGUUCCGACCUGCACGAAUGGCAUAAUGAUGGCGGCGCUGUCUCCAGCAGAGACUCAGUGAAAUCGAAAUCGCAGUGAAGAUGCUGUGUACCCGCGGCUAGACGGAAAGACCCCGUGAACCUUUACUACAGCUUUACAUUGAACUUUGACCUUACCUGUGUAGGAUAGGUGGGAGGCUUUGAAGCAGGCACGCCAGUGUCUGUGGAGCCAUCCUUGAAAUACCACCCUGGUAAUGUUGGGGUUCUAACUCAAGCUUAACAGAGCUGAGGACAAUGUAUGGUGGGUAGUUUGACUGGGGCGGUCUCCUCCUAAAGAGUAACGGAGGAGUACGAAGGUGCGCUCAGAACGGUCGGAAAUCGUUCGAAGAGUAUAAAGGCAAAAGCGCGCUUAACUGCGAGACCCACAAGUCGAGCAGAUACGAAAGUAGGUCUUAGUGAUCCGGUGGUUCUGUAUGGAAGGGCCAUCGCUCAACGGAUAAAAGGUACUCUGGGGAUAACAGGCUGAUACCGCCCAAGAGUUCAUAUCGACGGCGGUGUUUGGCACCUCGAUGUCGGCUCAUCUCAUCCUGGGGCUGAAGCAGGUCCCAAGGGUAUGGCUGUUCGCCAUUUAAAGAGGUACGCGAGCUGGGUUUAGUACGUCGUGAGACAGUUCGGUCCCUAUCUACCGUGGGCGUUGGAAAUUUGAGAGGAUCUGCUCCUAGUACGAGAGGACCAGAGUGGACGAACCUCUGGUGUUUCGGUUGUGACGCCAGUCGCAUUGCCGAGUAGCUAUGUUCGGAUGGGAUAACCGCUGAAAGCAUCUAAGCGGGAAGCCCACCUUAAGAUUAGAUUUCCCUAAAGAGCCGUUGUAGACUACGACGUUGAUAGGUUGGGUGUGGAAGCAUAGUGAUAUGUGUAGCUAACCAAUACUAAUUGCUCGUUUGGCUUGACC
rnacentral:rRNA from 1 species